rnacentral:rRNA from 1 species
UAAGCCUACGGGAGGCAGCAGUGAGGAAUAUUGGUCAAUGGGCGGAAGCCUGAACCAGCCAAGUCGCGUGAGGGAAGAAGGCCCUGCGGGUCGCAGACCUCUUUGGACGGGGAGCAAGGCCGCCGACGUGUCGGCGGAAGGAGAGUACCCGUAGAACAAGCAUCGGCUAACUCCGUGCCAGCAGCCGCGGUAAUACGGAGGAUGCGAGCGUUAUCCGGAUUUAUUGGGUUUAAAGGGGGCGCAGGCGGCACGGCAAGCCGGCGGUCAAAUCGCGGGGCCCAACCCCGCCCAGGCGUAGG